UACGAAGGGGGCUAGCGUUGCUCGGAAUGACUGGGCGUAAAGGGCGCGUAGGCGGAUGGCACAGUCAGAUGUGAAAUUCCCGGGCUUAACCUGGGGGCUGCAUUUGAUACGUGUGAUCUAGAGUGAGGAAGAGGGUCGUGGAAUUCCCAGUGUAGAGGUGAAAUUCGUAGAUAUUGGGAAGAACACCGGUGGCGAAGGCGGCGACCUGGUCCUUGACUGACGCUGAGGCGCGAAAGCGUAGGUAGCGAAUGGG
rnacentral:rRNA from 1 species